CACACGACUCUCGGCAACGGAUAUCUCGGCUCUCGCAUCGAUGAAGAACGUAGCGAAAUGCGAUACCUGGUGUGAAUUGCAGAAUCCCGUGAUCCAUCGAGUCUUUGAACGCAAGUUGCGCCCGAGGCCACUCGGCCGAGGGCACGCCUGCCUGGGCGUCACGC
rnacentral:rRNA from 1 species